rnacentral:rRNA from 40 species
GACUCUCGGCAAUGGAUAUCUCGGCUCUUGCAUCGAUGAAGAACGUAGUGAAAUGCGAUACUUGGUGUGAAUUGCAGAAUCUCGUGAACCAUUGAGUCUUUGAACGCAAGUUGUGCCCGAGGCUUUGUGGCCGAGGGCACGCCUGCUUGGGCGUCAUG